rnacentral:rRNA from 1 species
GAUGAACGCUGGCGGCGUGCCUAAUACAUGCAAGUCGAGCGAACAGACGAGGAGCUUGCUCCUCUGACGUUAGCGGCGGACGGGUGAGUAACACGUGGAUAACCUACCUAUAAGACUGGGACAACUUCGGGAACCGGAGCUAAUACCGGAUAAUAUAUUGAACCGCAUGGUUCAAUAGUGAAAGACGGUUUUGCUGUCACUUAUAGAUGGAUCCGCGCCGCAUUAGCUAGUUGGUAAGGUAACGGCUUACCAAGGCAACGAUGCGUAGCCGACCUGAGAGGGUGAUCGGCCACACUGGAACUGAGACACGGUCCAGACUCCUACGGGAGGCAGCAGUAGGGAAUCUUCCGCAAUGGGCGAAAGCUUGACGGAGCAACGCCGCGUGAGUGAUGAAGGUCUUCGGAUCGUAAAACUCUGUUAUUAGGGAAGAACAAAUGUGUAAGUAACUAUGCACGUCUUGACGGUACCUAAUCAGAAAGCCGCGGCUAACUACGUG